CCAAGUUCCAUGGAAAUGCAUAAUCAUUUUUGAAAAGUUACUCUGCAAAAUUCCUUUACUGACUUAGGAGGACUGAUUCUCCUUUUUAAAAUUAAAGAUAUUGUACGUGAAGGAGUUCUACUUCAAACUGAAAUGGAGGCUGCUGGCUGUACACAUGGCGACCUAAAGGGAAUAAAACGGCGCUCCCUCUACUCCCCCCCUCUCAGAUAAAGCACAUUAUUUCCUUCUUAACUUCCUGCAAUAACAGUUUCUCGACAAUCUGAGUGUGCGGAUGUGUCUCGACCUUCCACCAGGUUUUUAGUUCUCCCAAUAGGGUGGGGAAGCCUUUUCUUUCGUUUCUCACUCAUUACCAGGCCUAGAUCUGGCUUCAGACGGGAAGGUCUGGCCCACCUAAAGGGGGACUGGAGGAGGCGGGAGAGGGGAAAUGAAGAGGCCACUUUCCGACCCCACACUUCCUCUCCACCUCCUACGGGACAAUAGCCCCGAGGCGCAGCUGUGGGGGGUGGGAGUGGGGGUGGGGUGGGGUCGGGGAGGAUGACCCAAGAGAGUGGGACCCUGGAGAUUUAGAGCCAGAGCUGGCAAGUGGCGAGGGGGAGGUGGGCUUCCGCGAAAAGCUUGCUGAGCGGAGCCAGACUCUGGCCUAGCAGCGGGCAGGGAACCCCGGGCCUCCCCGGGCGCCAUCACUGGGAGUGGGGGAGGAAAAAGAAACCUUUGGCAGGGCCCUCCCCCCCCCACGAAGCCCCCGCCCUGCCAACCAGACAAGCCCGGGAAGAGGUCGGGGUGUGUGGUCCGGGGUGGGUGGGCGGCAGGGGUCCCAGCGAGAAAGGGAAGAGAAGCAGCAGCAGCACCGCGGGCCCGGGCCUGCUGGGCCCGACUAGGCCCCUGGGCCUCGGGCCCGGCCCUUACCUUGUGGAUUCUCUUCAGAGCCAUUGUCAAGGACCGCAUCACCCGGCGGCGGCCCCCUUAUGCGCUGCUGCUGCUGCCUCCUCCACCACCGGCGCCGCCGCCGCCGCCGCCGCCACUGCCGCCGCCGCCGCCACCGCCUCCGCCGCCGCCGCUGCUGCUGCGCCGACGCCGCCUCCGCAGAUCCCUCCGCCAAGGAGGGAGAGAGUAGUCCGCGCCGCUCCCUCCGGCUCUGGGGGCCUUCUCGGCGGCGAGGUCGCUUCCUCGACAGGCAGCCAGAUAAUUUUCAGAUACACUGACAUCGACUGUCAAGCACCCGGGCUUGGCUCUCGCCUAUCAUUACAUCCGUUUUACAGAUGAGGAGUUUGAGGCCCAGAACAAGUGGAUGCCGUUGGCCUCACUGGGGAGCAAAGCUGGGACUAGAGCUGCUGCCUUCCCAAGAGUUUGAGUGCCUCGGAAAACUCCAUCCUCUCCACCAAAAGGUUAAAUGGCUCUAGGAGGAGCCCUGGGCAUCCUGAUGCCUAGGAGGAGCCUGGCUUGGGGUUCAGAGGUAUUUGCUAUGUAGGGUUUCUUCUUGAGAAGUACGUCUUGUUCUUUCCCCAGUCUCCAGAAGCUACUGCUGUGCGACUGGAAAACCCGUGCUGGGUGUGCUUUUUCUGAAACAGGACACGGCACAGAAGACCCCGAAACUGGGCUUUCCCAUCCUGCCAAAGAGCUUGGAGAGGUGUUGGCGGUCACUUUUCCACUAAUCCGUGUACACGCUGUGAAGCCCAGCAGCCGCCAAUAAAUUGUUAGUGAGGGGAACUUGCUACCA
ensembl:lncRNA